rnacentral:lncRNA from 1 species
UGAAAAUGCGAGAAUAAAAGGACUGUAUGCAUGAGUUAUUCAAAAAUUUACUCUCUCCUAAUUGAACUAUGGGGAUUUCCUUUGAAUCUCUCACACCAAACCACUGGUGCUAGCAAGUGGUAGGAUUUUGUGUUUUUUUUUUUUCUUUUUUUGGAGCAGUUCAACAAGUGAACUAAGUACAUAUGUCAUCCUAAAUUGAAUUCUUUUGACUCAUGUCCCAGGAGUGAUGAAAUGUAUCUCUGUGUCUCAUUUCCUGCUAAUGAUGUGGCUGGUGGUUCCACUGCUUCCCUUCCUGGAAUGAUUUUUGCCAUCAGCCACUUAGCAAAUAUUAUCCACUUACUCAAGUGAUGUGAUGAGCAGUCUGGUCAUAAUUGUUUCCACGCUUUAUUGAUGGGUAUUUUCAGAUUUCUUAUAGGAUGCUAUGAUAACAUGGAUGAAGACAUGAGGUGGAUUGUGUCUGUGAUGAAAUAUCUGAUGACUUUUACCAGGCCUCUUGUGGGUUAAGGCAGCAUGGGAGGUGAAAGAGAAGCUAUGAGUGGGUGAGAAAAGCAAGCGCUGGACUGGCCAAGGUACAAAGGGAAAAUCAUCCUGUCCUCAGCUUGGAAAGAACCUGAUAUUUAGGUUUCUCUGCUGCUUUUAAUGUGAUAGGGCAUUUGGCACAGCUCACAUCAAGAAAGAAUUUAGUUAUCCCGAUAAAUUGUUUGUCCAGAGAGAAUGAACACUGCUGGCAGUUACUGCUAAGAUACAUGAAGGCAUCUGGUCGUGAUUUGCCCUAGUUUGUCUAGCAGCCACCUGUUGAAGCUCUCAAAUCUGGAUUCGGACUCCAGCUCCACAUCUUAGAAAGCCUUGCACCAUGGGCAGCUUUCUGAGAAACAUUCACUUUUCCCUUUGAAAAGGUGGUUCAAGGUAUUGACCACCAGAAUUAAGUUAGACUGAUGGCAGUAUGCCCUCUGUAAGUGGUGACAAUUAUUGUAUCUUCUUUAUUAGCAUCAUGGGUUUUAUUUUCUAGUUUUUGUUCAGAGUCUAAAUUUCUUUAGAUGAGGCUUAAUUUUUAAGAAAAUGUGGGCUUAUGUGCUUGUAUUAAUUUAAAUCACAGUUCUAGCAUUAUCUGUUUAACCUCUCAUCGUGUAAAUAAAUUUGACUGAAAUCUCACAA